UAGUCGGAGAGUUUGAUCCCGGCUCAGGAUAAACGCUGGCGGUGUGCUUAAUGCAUGCAAGUCGAACGGUCCUUCGGGACAGUGGCGAACGGGUGAGUAACGCGUAAGUAACCUGCCCCUAAGUGGGGGAUAACUUCGGGAAACUGGAGCUAAUACCGCAUGUGGUCCUUCUGCAAAAGCGGAAGGACUAAAGCCUUCGGGUGCUUGGGGAGUGGCUUGCGUCCGAUUAGCUUGUUGGUGAGGUAAUGGCCCACCAAGGCAAUGAUCGGUAGCUGGUCUGAGAGGAUAACCAGCCACACUGGGACUGAGACACGGCCCAGACUCCUACGGGAGGCAGCAGCAAGGAAUAUUGUGCAAUGGGCGAAAGCCUGACACAGCGACACCGCGUGGGGGAUGAAGGCCCUCGGGUUGUAAACCCCUUUUCUCAGGGAAGAAUAAUGACGGUACCUGAGGAAUAAGUCUCGGCUAACUACGUGCCAGCAGCCGCGGUAAUACGUAGGAGGCAAGCGUUAUCCGGAUUUAUUGGGCGUAAAGCGCGUGUAGGUGGCUCUUCAAGUCGGAUGAAAAAUCUCCCGGCUCAACUGGGAGGGACCAUUCGAUACUGCUGGGCUAGAGUGCAGCAGAGGGAGGUGGAAUUCCCGGU
rnacentral:rRNA from 1 species